AGACAACAAACGUGCAAUAAUACUCCAGUAAAGAGCUUCCUCACCUUGAUCAUGCUCUACUUAACAAUGUUCGAGGAGCUUUGGAGCUGCCUGUAUUUUAACCAUCUGGACAACCUGUUUUGGUGUAUUGGUGUUCAUAAUGACCUCCAUCAACUAUGUUGCAGAGGUCGGGUUUCAAGCCUCAGAGGUCAUUGGAAGUGAUUAUGUUCACCUCAGAAGAGCCCUCUUCCCACGAGGUUUGGGAUCAGCUAUCUGGGAAGGAAUUGUACAACUUGCAGAACAACUGAUAAGUACAAAAGACAGCCAUAAUGUUUCCUUCUCUGAUGCUGAUAAGUCUGCUGGUUACGCAAAUGCUAAGGGGGAUUUGUCUGAAUUCUUUCUCAAAAAAGGAACUUAUUCUGCUUUCGUCAAGUUGCACAUAGAGCAAGGUCUCAUUCUAGAAAAAGGUAUUUCGAUUGGUGUUGUGACUGCGAUUGCCGCUCCAGCAAGCAUCAAAGUAACAUUUGAAGGCAAUGGAGGUCAUGCAGGAGCUGCACUGAUGCCAAAAAGAUACUACUACUAUCAUUUUUCAUGCCUUGCAAGUUAAUUGAAGACGGAAUAAUGAUCUGUUUCUAUAUCUUGUUGGUGAAUUGUUUGUCAUUACAUUCAUUCCAGCAUUGACAAUUUUUCAACACCUUUGCUUCUUUUGGUUGAUAUGCCAAAGAAAAUAUAUAUGCAGGAUACAAAAAUGCAUGUUUGUGAUGAAAAAAAAAAAGAUGAUUAUCCAUUACAAAAGGUAUGUUAUUACUUUAUAGCAAAAUUAUUAUACUUUUUGAAAAGUUUAGAUUUAAACACCUAUAAAUGCAACAUAUAAUUACCUCAAAAAGCUCAUCACCUCCCUUGUUUUGUGCUCCUUCAAACAGAGAAUCCUAAUGAAAUAUAGUAAUAUCAUUAAAAUAAAAUUUAUAAUUCUUAUAGAACUCGAGAUUUAUAAUUCUUUAUAAAAAGUAGCACUUACAGUGUAUUUUAGUGAAGGAUGACAAUAUUUCUCGAAAAGAGAUUCAUCAUCAGCAAAUUUUAGAACUUUGUAGACUUCAUCCUGCUUGUAUAUAUUAGAUUCCUUCACCAUGACCUUAAACAUGAGUUUUUUUUCAAUGAUAUCAUCCAGUUCACUUGGAUACGAACAUUCAUCAUCAUCAAUUAAGCCCUCCUUUAGCUCUUUUGCAGUUUUCCCCAUAAGUUGAACAGCCUCACGGUUCCAAAGUAAUAGGGUUAUAAGACCAGUUCCAUCCAUUACACGAACUUGUAGCCUAUACCUGAAAUUCAUUCUUUAUCAUGUUAACAAUAUAAAGUUUUUUCUUGAUAAAAAUUCAUGUAGGAUUGUAAUUACCUGUGAACAACUUUUGCCUUUGAAUUGCAUUUUGGAUAAAAAAAAAUGAGUUUCCAUCUUGUUCAACCUUUAUAAUACACUUGUUGCAACCCAUGUAUGACCAUCCAUGAUCAAGAUCAAAACAAACAAUUUUUGCAGCAAUCCAAUAGCUAGCUUCCUGUUUGAUAGAGAAAAUAUUGUUAUAAUAUUUAAAUACAUUGUGUUAAGUUAAUCGGGAAUGAAAAAAUUUAUUCAGCUCACUUCUAAGCAUACAAUCAAAUCAUUGAUGUAUUUAAAAGGUACAAUUCCUUUGGCUAACUCAUCCGUGAUAGAAUAACACUGUUGAAUAACACUGUUGAGAACUUGUCUGGCUAAGCCGCUCAUAGUUUAGAAGCACAUGCUGCAUUUAAUCUGAAUGAAAAAUAGUAUAAAAUUAUACAUUAAUGUAUAUUCUAAAUUUUAAUAUUAAAUUUAAUUGAUAAAUGUUUUAAAACAAUAGUUUGAAGUGACAACCUGCAUUUAAAAGCAAUAGAUUGCGGCAGAGAUGAAUUUAUCCAUAGCUUAGUUUGAUACCAACAACUACGAACGGAGUAGACAUCUGUUUGAAAUAAUAUUUAGAAUUUGAAAAUAAAAAUAAUUUUUGAUUAAAUCUGUUAUGUAUUAUAGUUUAAAAUAUUCAUACCUCUGAAUUUUUGAGCCUUCAUAAAUUGAAGAAUCACAAUCAAAGGUUCAUCUAUGGAUGCACUCAAAAAAGGUUGAAUUUGAUCCACAAGUUCGCCUCAUAAAGUUGUUGAAAGUCUAUUUCUCUUGUA